CCUACGGGGAGCAGCAGUGAGGAAUAUUGGUCAAUGGACGCAAGUCUGAACCAGCCAUGCCGCGUGCAGGAAGACGGCUCUAUGAGUUGUAAACUGCUUUUGUACGAGGGUAAACGCAGAUACGCGUAUCUGUCUGAAAGUAUCGUACGAAUAAGGAUCGGCUAACUCCGUGCCAGCAGCCGCGGUAAUACGGAGGAUUCAAGCGUUAUCCGGAUUUAUUGGGUUUAAAGGGUGCGUAGGCGGUCGGAUAAGUUAGAGGUGAAAUCCCGAGGCUCAACUUCGGAAUUGCCUCUGAUACUGUCCGGCUAGAGAGUAGUUGCGGUAGGCGGAAUGUAUGGUGUAGCGGUGAAAUGCUUAGAGAUCAUACAGAACACCGAUUGCGAAGGCAGCUUACCAAGCUACUUCUGACGUUGAGGCACGAAAGCGUGGGGAGCAAACAGGAUUAGAUACCCCAGUAGUC
rnacentral:rRNA from 1 species